GGAAGAGUUCUACUUCAUUGAUUAACAAAAGCAGGGGAUAUAAUUUUUUUUUUCCUCCUUCUUUUUCAAAAGCCUGAAAUGUCAAGCCUUUUAAAGCAGAUUAUUCUGCCUGUGUGCGGCGAACGCAGCCCCGACUAACCUUUUGUCUACAAUUAAAUAUGCCAGGCAUAAAUAUAAAAGAAAAAUCAGAGAUGGGGAAGAUUGACUCAGGAGAGAUUGUGGAGGUAGAUCCACGCGCGCUGAUAGUGCAAACAGCUCCUAAUUAAAUAUGCCAGCGAGUCUCAAAAGCGCUUUUCUGCCGCAGAGAGAGAGAAGCUGCUGAGACGGAGAGGAGAAAAGUAUCGGCUCAUCUCUCCGGCCGCAGCCUUCCUCUGGGCAUCACAAGAUCCAGUCUUCAUCGCAGUACCGCCGAGGAAGGAGGACGUCCGCUUUCUGCUCUUGUCGGGAAUCUAAGAAGGGACCAUACUUCCCUUACGGAGGAGCUGCCGAUGGUUCAUUUCUUCAUGCACAGGCAGCCAGAAGGUAUGAAAGGAUAACCAUCAAUCAGUUGUCAAUUGGUCAAUUGCCGAAGUGAUGAAAAGGAAGGGCUUGAACAAUUCCCCCUCUUUGGCUACCUAGAGGACUCGGAGCAUGGAGGAAAAUCUGGCUCCUGGACGGGUUACGAGAGUGGAUCAGGAUCACAGAUGGCGUGGAGCUGCAGAGGGGCUGAGGCGGGUGAGAGCAGCCGCGCUGAGAGCACUCUGAGCGGGCACACGGAGCGACUGGACGCUAUGGAUCAUGAGAGCGGCUGCCGGAAAACUGCGCGGCCGGAAAAAGCGACUCCUCGCUGGGCGCGCAUGGGAGGAUCCGGCCGGCAGGCGCGGGGAACUUUUGGAUGUGUCAGUCAAAUAUUUUUUUCUACUCAAGCAUGGCGGUGAUAAUUGGAUUGUGUGGACACCUGUAUGAGUGCAGUAUAUCCAGGGGAUUAGAGAACGGGAUGGAAUUGGCGAGCACAUCGUCCCGCAGCAGUGGCUCUUUAAAAUGGGUUCCAGUGCCAUUUGAACGGCGGCUAAGAAGCGAUUUAUGCAUCUUUCAUUGGACUGAUGACUGGGCAUAUUCUUACUGAGGACAACAUGAACAGUGCAGACUUCAUCAGCGGCCACACAAGAUGACUGUCUGCUGCUGACUGACCAAUUGUUCAUGCUAUGAAAACUGUAAAGAUGGAGGCAAAUCACUCAUUAGGUGUUUGGGAACAGUAACGCUUUUGCCUCUGACAGUAAUGAACGUCUCCUUUAGGUUCUGAUACUCGACACGAAAGGUUUUGAUUGUUUUGUCAAAUGAAAAUAAACAUUUUCGAUAAAUACUAUUACGCUAUUGCUCCCUCCGUAUUAUCAUUGAUUGUGUUUACGUUCACGUUCUUCAUCAGAUUGUAAUGCAUAAGCUGAUAAUACGCAUGGUCGGAGUGCAUCGGGAAUGUUUUGAGAACAUUCAUUAAGCUUUAUUCAUUCAUUAAGCAGUCAUUUGCUUAACCGUUGUGUAAAUGUUAUCAUGCAAUGUUAUGAAAAUAACACUUAUGAAGCAUUCUUGUUUGUAAAUGGUGUCAUGCAUCGUUAUUAAAAACAUUUCUGGAACGUUUUUGCAAUGAUUUUAGAACAUUUAGUAACACUCCUUAAACGUUGUGUGAAUGUUAUCAUGCAAUGUUGUUAAAAUAACCUUUCUGAAACAUUUUUGUAACGUUUUGAAAACAUUAGGUAACUCCUUAAAUGCUGUGUGAAUGUUAUCAUGCAAUGUUAAUAAAAACAUUUCUGGAACAUUCUUAUUUUGUUUUCAGAACAUUCAGUAACGCUCCUUAAAUGUUGUAUGAAUGUUAUCAUGCAACGUUAUUAAAAUAUUUUAUGAACAUACGUAUAAUGUUUUGAGAACAUUCAGUAACGCUCCUUAAAUGUUGUGUAAAUGUUAUCACAGAAUGACACUGCUCUCUUAAUGUUCUGUAAAUGCUAUCAUGCAAUGUUAUUAAAAACAAAAUUCUGGAAUGAUCUUGUAAUGAUUUCAGAACAUUCAGUAACGCUUCUUAAAUGUUGUGUAAAUGUCGUCAUGUUAUUAAAAUACGUUUUUUAAAACAGUCUUGUAAUGUUUUAAGAACAUUUAGUAACUCAUUAAAUAAUGCGUACAUUUUAUCACGCAGCGUUAUUAAAAAUAACAUUUCUGGAACAUUUUUGUAAUGUUUUGAAAACAUUCUGUAUCUCUUGAUAAAUACUGUGCAAAUGUUAUCACGCAAUGUUAUUAAUAUAAUAUUUCUAGAACAUUCUUGUAACAUUUUGAGAACAUUCAGCAAUUCUUAAUAAAUAAUGUGUAAAUUUUAUCAUGUAACGUUAUUAAAAUAACAUUUCUGGAACAUUCUUGUACCAUUGAGAACGUUUGAAAACAUUUCUUAAAUGUUGUGUAAAUGUUAUCAUGCAACGUUAUUAAAAUAACCUUUCUGGAACAUUCUUGUAACAUUAUGAGAACGUUUGAAAACACUUCUUAAAUGUUGUGUAAAUGUUAUCAUGCAACUUUGUUAAAGCAUUUCUGGAACAUUUUUUAAAUGUUUUGAGAACAUUCAGUAACGCUCCUCAAAUAUGUGAAUGUUUUCAUGCAACGCUAUUAAUAUAUUAUUUUUGUAACAUUCUUGUAAUGUUCGACAAUGCUCCUUAAACAUUGUGUAAAUGUUAUCAUGCAACGUUAUUAAAAUAACAUUUCUGGAAAA